AGUCGAGUCAGUGAUAGCUCUGAGAUUCGAUUCGUUCAUUAACGAGGUCACGAGCUCUACGAACAACUGCUACGGUAUAAUCUAACCACAGACUUGAAGCGGCUCAGUGAAUCCGUGCCGAGUCGCGAUGGCGACUGUAGAAGAAGAGGGUGUGGACAUUUUCCCCGAAGACAUGGCGCACUGCUUGAACAUUUAUCCUCCGAGCGUCACUGACUCGACUCAACUACGGCUAUUGCGGGAACGGAAUGAAAUCCGUCAGCGCUUCGGAAUUUGGCUGAACCUCCUACAGACAAACCCCGCAUCGUGACAUCCACGACAACGGUAAAUAUACGUUACGUACGUUUCGCCAUGUGUUUCUCGGAGCACUCGGGCGCGGUAUCUUCUGUUUGGGCUCGCUGUAUAGUUCUCGAUCACGAAGAGUUUUGCCUUAUUGGGAAAAAAUUGAAUUUGAAGAAUCCUCAAUUUGAAAACGUGGGGCUUAUUACCGGUCCCUCGACUGGUGGUAAAUAGAGGUAAGUAAGGAUGUACAAGGCACAGGUCAAGCGAACGGUAAAAGAUUGAUUAUUUUUUAAAUGAAGUGUAGACAUAGUCGGGAAACAGAAGAUAAUAUAUCACUAAACCGCGCCAAGAGUUAACGUCAGCACGAUUUAUAUUUUCGUUGUUCUCUUCUCUCAAAGUGAUGAUUAUAUUUGUAAUACUAUACUAUCUAAAUAUUAAUUAAUUUUCUUUUCGAAUAAUCUUAGAACUGUCCUUUUCCUAAUUUACAUUUUAAUAGAUUGUUUUUUAAAAUUGAGUGAAAUUAUUCAUGCCAUGGCGAUUAAACGUUUGCAACAUAUUUCAGUAGAGCAUUCAAAUUGCAAGUUGCAACCACACUAAACAUAUGUAACUUCGACCGACAUAGACACGCAUUUAUGAAAAUAGUAGUAAUUUUACAUGUUUAUACUAUGUACAUCUCCCUGUGUGUAUUUCGAAGGCAUUUAUCUUAAUAUUACGAGAACGGUUAACAGCGGCACGC